rnacentral:lncRNA from 1 species
AUUCAUUUUUUCUAAAUAAUGCUAAAAUAUUUUAUUCUUAUCAUGUUUUGUAGGCAAAUGGCUCAAUGCUUUACUUGCAAAGAAUGGUUUCAUCGGCAAUGUGAAAGAAUUCCACAGAGCGCUUAUGAACAAGAAGAUGAGCUCUGGUAUUGUCAGCAUUGCAACAGUAUAGCAGACAUUAAUACUACAAAUGAAGUAUAAUAUCUGAAACUGUCAUGACAUUCUUAACAAAGAAAUAAUAAAAAUUAGGUUUAUUCCUUACUUAAUAUAUGACCUUGUUAUACUAACCAUCAGGGCGGUGAGCGGAACUUGGCUACCUUCUCGUGGUGCUCACUGUUAGAAAUGAGUACAAGAGAUAAAAAUUAACAUUUGAUUUUUAUCUCUUGAAUCAUACACAAAAUGCCAAGUCGAGAAAGCAAUAGUCGAUUAUAGUCAGUCUGGUUCUACCGAUUUAUUGACUUUUUUUUAUUUACAUAGUUUGGUUUAACAAAGUCAUUUUAAUGUUUUUAUGAAUUUUGAAGAAAUAUAUGCAAGCAAGAAAUUUGGAACUUUA